GACGAACGCUGGCGGCGUGCUUAACACAUGCAAGUCGAACGAAGUGGCGGACGGGUGAGUAACGCGUAAUCAACCUGCCCUUCAGGGGGGGACAACAGUUGGAAACGACUGCAAAUACCGAAUACUGAAGGGGGGGAUUGCGUUGUAUUAGCUAGUUGGAGGGGUAACGGCCCAGCAAGGCGAUGAUCGGUAGUCGGGCUGAGAGGAUGAACGGCCACAUUGGGACCGAGACACGGGCCAGACUCCUACGGGAGGCAGCAGGUGGGAAUCUUCCGCAAUGGACGAAAGUCUGACGGAGCAACGCCGCGUGAGUGAUGACGGCCUUCGGGUUGUAAAGCUCUGUUAAUCGGGACGCGUUACCGGAAUAGAAAGCCACGGCUAACUACGUGCCAGCAGCCGCGGUAAUUC
rnacentral:rRNA from 1 species